CGCACGGGUGAGUAACGCGUAUCCAACCUGCCGUCUACUCUUGGACAGCCUUCUGAAAGGAAGAUUAAUACAAGAUGGCAUCAUGAGUCCGCAUGUUCACAUGAUUAAAGGUAUUCCGGUAGACGAUGGGGAUGCGUUCCAUUAGAUAGUAGGCGGGGUAACGGCCCACCAAACCGACGAUGGAUAGGGGUUCUGAGAGGAAGGUCCCCCACAUUGGAACUGAGACACGGUCCAA
rnacentral:rRNA from 1 species